rnacentral:rRNA from 1 species
AUCGAACGCUGGCGGCAUGCCUUACACAUGCAAGUCGAACGGCAGCGGGGACUUCGGUCCGCCGGCGAGUGGCGAACGGGUGAGUAAUGUAUCGGAACGUACCAUUCAGUGGGGGAUAACUAUCCGAAAGGAUAGCUAAUACCGCAUAUUCUGUGAGCAGGAAAGCAGGGGAUCGCAAGACCUUGCGCUGAUUGAGCGGCCGAUAUCAGAUUAGCUAGUUGGUGAGGUAACGGCUCACCAAGGCUACGAUCUGUAGCGGGUCUGAGAGGAUGAUCCGCCACACUGGGACUGAGACACGGCCCAGACUCCUACGGGAGGCAGCAGUGGGGAAUUUUGGACAAUGGGCGCAAGCCUGACCCAGCCAUGCCGCGUGAGUGAAGAAGGCCUUCGGGUUGUAAAGCUCUUUCGGCCGGGAAGAAAUCGCAUCAGCUAAUACCUGGUGUGGAUGACGGUACCGGAAUAAGAAGCACCGGCUAACUACGUGCCAGCAGCCGCAGUAAGAC